rnacentral:rRNA from 1 species
CAGCCGCCACGGGAAUACGAAGGGGGCUAGCGUUGUUCGGAUUUACUGGGCGUAAAGGGUGCGUAGGCGGACUGAUAAGUCAGGGGUGAAAUCCCAAGGCUCAACCUUGGAACUGCCUUUGAUACUGUUAGUCUUGAGUUCGAGAGAGGUGAGUGGAACUGCGAGUGUAGAGGUGAAAUUCGUAGAUAUUCGCAAGAACACCAGUGGCGAAGGCGGCUCACUGGCUCGAAACUGACGCUGAGGCACGAAAGCGUGGGGAGCGAACAGGAUUAGAUACCCCAGUAGUCCCUGUCUCUUAUAU